GUAACCCCCUCCCCGAGCACCCACGCACGCAUCCUCCCCCCUUGCCCCUCCCCUCUAGCCACCGGCCAGCCCGAGCACGCUGCUCCUCCUCUCCACUGCCUCUCCCAUGUAGGAUGUAGCCACUGUCCUGUACUACGAGCAAGUCGCCGCUCCUCCCUCCGCCACGGCUUCGAGCUCCCAACCUGAACCCUGUGUAGUCACGAAAGUAUUAAAUGGAGCCUCCUUUGCCGCCACUCAACCCCGUUGAAGUACGGGCAGGAACCGCCUCCGCGGUGGCUGAGAAAUCAAGAAGAUGAGCGGGCAUGCCCGCACGGGGCGAGUGAAUCUGCGCUCUCUGCCCUUUUCCAAUCUGUAGUUUUGCACGCCGAUGUACCGUACAGAUCGGGCGACCGCGAAUCUUCGACUCUGCUGCAGCGGCUACCGGAUGCUCUCAUGUAGGGCCUGCUUACAAGGAAUAGCAGAGCUUUGCAAGAAUUUUUUCUAUCGAUGUAUGGAAUCAAUUUUUCCCCAAUGUCGACGCUGGAGACAUUCAUUUGAGUUCGCCCCAAGGCCUCCGACACCCCAGGACCAGCGCUGGCUUCACGUCUCCAGCGAGACUGGGAGGAAGAGUCGCCCGCCCUCUGCUCAUCCUUCCUGGCUGCCCCCAUCACCGGUGACGGUGACUGCGGUGAUCACAGCUUGGUUCAGAAUACAUGGGAUUUGAUUUGUCAAUAUCCACAAGCACACGACCUGCACUUUUUAUGUGAGGCAGCUCUUUAUGAUGCCCUUUUGCAUAUAUAAGCCUUUACUUGAGACACCAAUUGUUGGCACUGUAAUUUAGCGGCAGCAUUCUCGUGCCUGACAUUCAUCACAUGACCAUUCUACUAUGUUGCAUCAAGAACAAUUGUGUCCGCACAAUACCUGCAGAAUCAAUCGAUGUGUAAAUCACAGUCACAACAAGGUAUGGUGAUCCUGCCGGCGGAAAAGAAGUCAUGGAUUGUUGACCUUACAUGGCAACCUUGUAUCAGUUUUGGCUAUACAAACUUGCCUCUCUCCUUGGGAGCCGGAAUCUCUGACUUGCACGAGGGAAGUCAGGGAGCUACAGCGUUCUCCUUGUAUAGAAAAGAUAAGGCAAGUGAGAGACCUUGUGAAAUUGAAAUUGAUCUUCUUAAAAAAGUGAAAUUAGUUUUUUUAAUGAGUCUUUUGAAAUUGAAAUUGGUAUGUGCGAAUUGAAAUUGAUUAUUUAAAAAUUGAAAUCGGUCUUUUGAAAAUUGAAAUGAGUACCCUUCAUGGAGCUAGAGAGAAGUGAAGUCAGAUUACUGUAGCUCCCUUGAUUUCACUUCAUAAGUCAAAGGAUCCAGCGGACUUUUUAUGUUGUAUGCAAUUGUGGUAGUAUGGCUCUAAUGAGUUUUCGCGAACUGCAUCUUGUGAGUGUUAUAUGUUAGAGAUAAGCCACGACUGUGUGCGCGUUGAGCCAGGCGCCGGUGCGUGGCUGCGUUGAUGGUCGUGGCGAGUGUGCCGGUCAAGUUAGAUAGCUACAUGUGUGCUGGAUCGGUUGGAUCCUGGAGUGAGUCUAGGAGAAGAUCAAGUCAAAAGUUUGUUAGCUUGGCCAACCAGUACGUGCAUGUAGGAGUAGCUAAUGCAUGCGGUUAGUGGCCGUGUUGUUAGCAGGUCAUGCGUAUGUGGGUUAGUUGAGUUAGUGGCCGAUGGUGGCAGGGUCAUGCGUGCGUGCGCGCGGUGGCCUGCAUGGUAGCUAGCUAGGUGUGUGUGCGCACAGGGUAUAAAUACCCACUCCAUGUAAUGAUCAAGGUGCGUCGGUAUGAGCCGAGCCUAGGGCCAGAGAUGAGGUAGUCUCCGCCGGACCGUGGUGUGCGCCCGGUCGGCUGUGAGAGAGAGCUCCUCUGGAUAGGCUGCGGUUUCUUGCCGAGCCCGAGGUAUGUGCCCAGUAAAGUGAGGCCAUUCGUGUGACCAAGGCGCCGUUCGUGCAGCGGGGCGUUCGUGCGCCGGAAAUACUUGUGUCCCCCUCCUUCUUCCACCUACGUUCGAGCGAGUGUGAGAUCGAGUUGGUCCGGGGUUUGUCCCAACAUUUGGUAUCAUGAGCUUGGUUGGCUUAGGCGUGGUUCGUCGUAUCGGAGGUGUGCUGGCGAUGGCGGUGUUUGUCGGCGGCUGUGCAAAGCUUCGGGCCAUGUGUCGGCCUAUGGAGGUGUGCGGCGUUGUGGAUGCCAUGACGGACGCAGAGACGGCGCGCGGUGAGUACGCGGCGAGCGUGGCGGUCGCGGAGGCGCUGCGUGUGGCGUGGCGGCAUGGAGGUGGUGCACGGAGGCGGAGGCCGCAGCGGCGCGGUGCGACGGCAUGAAGCGGCGUCCAAGAAGGCCCGCGUUUGUGCGCGAUGGCAUCGACGGCGUAUGUCGCCGGUGGAGGAGGAGCUCGGCGUGUGUCGCCCAAGAAGAGCAUGGAGGCUGCAUCAAAUGUAGUGGAGGCCCAUGGCGACGACGAUGACGGGAGCUCCUCUAGAUAGGCUGCAGUUUCUUGCCGAGCUCGAGGUAUGUGCCCAGUAAAGUGAGGCCGUUCGUGCGGCCGAGGCGCCGUUCGUGCGGCGGGGCGUUUGUGCGCCGGAAAUACUUGUGUCUCUCUCCUUCUUCCACCUAUGUUCAAGCGAGUGUGAGAUCGAGUUGGUCCGGGGUUUGUCCCAACAUUAUAUUCAGUGCUAUUAGUAUGGCUCUACUGAAUUUUGGAAAGUGCAUCUUGUGAAUGUCGUAUUCAGCUGUAGAAUUUAAUUGAUAACACAACCAUCAAAUUUGAUGAAGAUUUUCACCUUGUGAAACCAUUGGUCAUGAUCUGUUAGUACAGUUUAUUGUUUUAACAUAUCAUUAAUAGCAUUGCCGAUACUACAUAGAGUUCCAUUUAAUGUGUGUAGUAGCAUAUCCUUUUUGGUAUAGGUUUUCAAAAUAGUGGGGUUGUGGACAACCAUUUUGCAGAAUUCUUAAACUGAUGGUCCUGUAAAGUCAUAUGGUCAUAGACCAGUAAAUUCUGGUUAAGAGGGAUGCUACAGUGCACUCAGGCAACAAUCUGGUGGCCACACUUUCUAACGUGAUCUAAGGUACAACCUAGCAGCAAGGGUAACGUUUUCAGGCUGUAACAACUGAAUUAUGGCUUCAAUGUUCUCAGUGUAGUGGAACUUUAGAAAUAAUUGAAUUUAUCAUAUGUAUCAAUUUAUCUCUCCUGGAAUUAUGAAUCAUAUUUUAUAUGACUGAAAUGUCAGAUGAUUUAUAUCUCAAUCCAGUAUUGGACACUAUGUUGUGAAUGUUGCCUUGCCUUCUCUGGCUCUAUCUAUAUUCAACUUUUUUGUUUCUACAGUAUAUUGUUGUACAGUCAAUCGUUUGUCAAGCAUUUGUUGGAUCUAUUUUGCAUGGGCAAAUUAUUGAAGUUGUAUCAUUCAUGUGGUUCUAAUGUUUUAUAUUUCCGGUGUCGUUUGUUGCAUGUCCACACUAGCAACUGAAUAUUUAUGUAAUUUAAGAACCCAUGUUAAAUCUUUGUAUGCCUUCACGAGGAGAUUUGGAAUGAUGUAUGUUCUUUCUUGUGUAGAAGUAUUGCAUCGACAAUGUUGAAAAUUUAAUUUCAUGUCACUUGUGAGGAAAAUAGAUUUUGUAGUUGCAACAACACUGAAACUUACGUAUGUCUGCAAGGUGGAUUCCAUUUGGCAUGUUGGAGCAUGGUGUGUCGCCUGAAACGAAGGGAGCGGGACUACCAAAGAGAAUAUGGCGAGAAGUUGGAAGGGAGCUCUCUAACAAGGCGGGGUAAUAGGGUGGUAGCAGUAGGGGCUGACGGAGGUGGAUAGAGAACUGAGCGACUGACAUGCAGUCCUAGAGAUGUUGAAUUUGAUUAACUAUCUGUAUAGAUAAAACUGACAUGGUAAUCAUACAUAAAGGCAAUGGAGUAUGUUGUUUGGAAAAUAAAUGAAGGC